UACGGAGGGUGCAAGCGUUAAUCGGAAUUACUGGGCGUAAAGCGUGCGCAGGCGGUUUGUUAAGUCUGUUGUGAAAUCCCCGAGCUCAACUUGGGAAUUGCAAUGGAUACUGGCAGGCUGGAGUAUGGUAGAGGAAGGUGGAAUUCCCGGUGUAGCAGUGAAAUGCGUAGAGAUCGGGAGGAACACCAGUGGCGAAGGCGGCCUCCUGGACCAAUACUGACGCUCAUGCACGAAAGCGUGGGGAGCAAACAGG
rnacentral:rRNA from 1 species